rnacentral:lncRNA from 1 species
ACCACUAGUAGCAAUGAUUUCUUAUCACUGCUGCAUGACACAUUGCCUAGCACUUCCAUUCCAGUAGCAACAGCUCAGUCCCCCUCCCACAAACUAGCAGACUUGUUUUCAUUAAUUUGCUUACUGCCAGUUCUCUGACCUUGGGAGCUCACAUGAUCUACUCAGUCCAUGGGAAAAGCACAGGGAUGAGCAUAGCAGUCAUCACCAGAGUUAAAUUUAAUCACAGAAUCCCAGGGAUCACUCCAGUAUCCUACAACACACUUAUACUACCUCCAGACAGUGAGGGGAAAACAUNUGAUCUUGUUUGGAUCCUGCAANUGCAUCUCACCAUCCCUGCCAGACAGCACAGAAAAAAUUGUGGGGCAAGUACGGGUACUUACCUGUCAAGUGCUUGCUCCUGUGAUGGUGAGGCAAGUGAAAUACCCAGAAGUGUGCAAUUGCCAACCCCUGAGCACGUGCAAUGGUCAUUUUCAGGCCAUUUUUGGCCUCACACAUGUGCAAGGGUCAUUUUCUCCAAGGCCCAUGCCAAAAGCAAGCAUUCAAACAAGAGUUGCCCAUUAUGAGCUACACAUGGACUGGGAGAGUGGAAGAAAAGGCAGUGGAACUGCUACAUUUCCUUCAGGAUGCUGGCAAGUCAUUUGUCUUUCUCUCUGCUAUUUCUCUCUUUUUUGGAUGGCUCCCUAUAAACUCCUGCCAAAGGUUGCUGCAGAGUGGAAAGCAGUGACAAUUGUUUCCUUCUUCUUUUCAUAGAAGUCUUCAGAAAAUGUGUGGAUGAACAUUCCUGAUUAAAACCCUUUAUGAAUAUUAAUUAUGGACCGCAUACAUUUCUUGUAGAUUCUGUUAUCUUCAAAACAAAAUUCUUUCAAUACGCUAAUUUUACAGCUUUCUAUUUUUUAAAAGUUGUCUUAAAAUGAGCAUUGCUAAAUGUGACCUCAUUGUUUCCAUGUUUCAAAACUUUGAACAUGAUAAUUAUUUCUUUUACACUGAUUGCAGGUUACAGAAUAAAAGGUUGUGUCUAGUUGAUGUUUUCA